UUUUAACGGCCGCGGUAUUCUAACCGUGCAAAGGUAGCGUAAUCACUUGUCUUCCAAAUAAAGACUAGUAUGAACGGCUAAAUGAGGACAAAUCUGUCUCCUACACCCUAUCAGUGAAACUGAUCUUUCAGUCCAAAAGCUGAGAUAAACACACAAGACGAGAAGACCCUGUGGAGCUUAAAACACACUACUACAAAAUCUAAAGAUACCUAGUAUUUGUUUUGAGUUGGGGCGACUUCGGAACAAAAUAAGACUUCCGAGCACAGAACCACCCUUUCUAAUCGAGGCCUACAAGCCAAAACAUAAAUGACCCAGUCAAACUGAUCAACGAACCAAGUUACCCCAGGGAUAACAGCGCUAUCUUCUUCAAGAGUCCAUAUCGACAAGAAGGUUUACGACCUCGAUGUUGGAUCAGGACAUCCUAAUGGUGCAGCCGCUAUUAAGGGU
rnacentral:rRNA from 1 species